GGUAAGGGUGAAAGGGUGGUGUAAGAGACCACCGCGGCGCCAGCGAUGGUGCCGGCACGGUAAACCCCACCGGGAGCAAGGUCAUGCAGGAGGCGCCAAGGCUGCCAGGCCGAGUCUCCGGGUAGGCCGCUCGAGGUCGUCGGUAACGGCGAUCCUAGAUAGAUGACUGUUGAAACAGAACCCGGCUUAUAGGCUGGCUGGUCCG
rnacentral:RNase_P_RNA from 1 species